rnacentral:misc_RNA from 1 species
GAUGAAGAACGUAGCGAAAUGCGAUACGUAAUGUGAAUUGCAGAAUUCAGUGAAUCAUCGAGUCUUUGAACGCACAUUGCGCCCCCUGGUAUUCCGGGGGGCAUGCCUGUCCGAGCGUCAUUGCUGCCCUCAAGCACGGCUUGUGUGUUGGGCCUCCGUCCUCCUCCCGGGGGACGGGCCCGAAAGGCAGCGGCGGCACCGCGUCCGGUCCUCGAGCGUAUGGGGCUUCGUCACCCGCUCUUGUAGGCCCGGCCGGCGCUUGCCGACACAUCAAUCUUUUUUCCAGGUUGACCUCGGAUCAGGUAGGGAUACCCGCUAAACUUAAGCAUAUCAAUAAGCGGAGGA